rnacentral:rRNA from 1 species
AGCAGUCGCCGCGGUAAUGCGUAGGUGGCAAGCGUUGUCCGGAAUUAUUGGGCGUAAAGGGCUCGCAGGCGGUUUCUUAAGUCUGAUGUGAAAGCCCCCGGCUCAACCGGAGAGGGUCAUUGGAAACUGGGAAACUUGAGUGCAGAAGAGGAGAGUGGAAUUCCACGUGUAGCGGUGAAAUGCGUAGAUAUAUGGAGGAACACCGGUGGCGAAAGCGGCUCUCUGGCUUGUAACUGACGCUGAGGCUCGAAAGCGUGGGGAGCAAACAGGAUUAGAUACCCCCGUAGUCCCUGUCUCUUAUAC